rnacentral:rRNA from 1 species
UACGGGGGGGGGGCAAGCGUUGUUCGGAAUUACUGGGCGUAAAGGGCUCGUAGGUGGCCAAUUAAGUCAGACGUGAAAUCCCCAGGCUUAACCGGGGAACUGCGUCUGAUACUGGAUGGCUUGAGUUUGGGAGAGGGACGCGGAAUUCCAGGUGUAGCGGUGAAAUGCGUAGAUAUCUGGAGGAACACCGGUGGCGAAGGCGGCGUCCUGGACCAACACUGACACUGAGGAGCGAAAGCCAGGGGAGCAAAGCGGG